UAUUUUUGUUUUUGUUUUAUCAUAAAUGAGGCCGUUGGUUACAAUACGGUACGGGUUUUGUUCAUUACUGAAGUCCGUACAGUGACCUUUAGUUGCUUACAAACACGUCAUUUCGACUCUGGUUGAUAGAUGUCUCGUUGGCAUUCGUACCAAUAUCCUUAUUUUUUAUAUGCAAACCUAAUUGACAGCCAUUCAUUCAAAAAUAUUCAUUGCAGUCAGUUUAAAAUGUUUGCAUUAUCUUUAGUUUUUACAGCCUGCAAUAGUUACUGAAAAAAUGGCAUAAGAGUACAUGUAUAGUAAAAUGUUGCAAUAUUUACACUGUAGCUUAUAAUUUAUUUGAAAGAUGCUUUAAGACUCCAAAUAUUUUGUGCAUUGAUAUUGUUUAUGAUUUAUGAUAUUGUGUAUCUUUAUCACGGUGACGAUAAAUCUUUUACAAACGACUUUUGAAAGGGGAAUUCGAAACAGUUAUGGGGAUAUUUUAUUAAUAAUUUGUAUGUGCCUGUCCCAAGCCAGGAGCCUGUAAUUCAAUGGUUGUCUUUUGUUCCGAUAUAUCAUAUUUGUUCUUUGUUUAUUGUUUUGUAAAUAAAUCAGGCCGUUGGUUUUCUCGUUUGAAUUGUUUUACAUUUUUCAUUUCGAGGCCUUUUAUAACUUACUAUGCGGAAUGUCUUUUGCUUAUUGUUGAAGGCCGUUCAGUGGCCUAUAGUUGUUAACGUCUAUGUCAUUUGGUCUCUGGUGGAGAGUUGUCUCAUUGACAAUCAUACCACAUCUUCUUAUUUUUAUAUAACUCAAAGUAGGUUACUGUAUAAGACAAAGUAGGUUACUGUAUAAGACAAAGUAGGUUACUGUAUAAGACAAAGUAGGUUACUGUAUAACCCAAAGUAGGUUACUGUAUAAGACAAAGUAGGUUACUGUAUAACCCAAAGUAGGUUACUGUAUAAGACAAAGUAGGUUACUGUAUAAGACAAAGUAGGUUACUGUAUAAGACAAAGUAGGUUACUGUAUAACCCAAAGUAGGUUACUGUAUAAGACAAAGUAGGUUACUGUAUAAGACAAAGUAGGUUACUGUAUAAGAUAAAUUAGAAAAGCAAAACACAUAAAAAAAAGUAUGACCCUUAUAUUGAUCCACUUCCGCCAUGCAAAUACAUUUCUAAUAAGGAACGUUAACAAACGAUUUAACUCUUACUUUCAUAAUACUAAAAUAUGAUAAAUAAACAUAAUGAUUAGGAAACAUGAGAGUGAGAAAAGUACAUGUGUAUGUUUAGUAACUUAGGUGUUCAAUAAAAUGUUUUAAUUAGAACGGUUGAUUCUGGUAAAAAGGUUCUAUACUGAUCGGUGUACUUGAUUUAUGCGCGGACUGAUCGUUGUACUUGAUUUAUGCGCGAACUGAGCGGUGUAUUUGAUUUAUGCGCGGACUAAGUUACAGAAAAGAUCAUUUACUGCUUCUCUAGAUCGGACUUGACAAUUUUAAAAAUAGGAAUAUUUACAAUUGAUAAAAUACAUUCCACAUUCCAAAAGAUAAUGACCAGUUGUCUCUUUUCUCCGAAGAUACCAUUUGGCGAGUGACCAAGAAACAGAAGAUACCAAAAGGAGAUAUAAAAAAAUCAAAAGUUGAAAAAAAAAGACAGCACCAUGGCAAUAUAUAUUAUAUAUAUAUAUAUAUAUAUAUUUCUUAAGCUUACAUGUAUAUGUAUAUUACUCCCUUUUAAAACAUGUCAAUCUCCUACUGAUUUGCGUGAACAAGUAUGUCAAUGUGACUUUAUAAACUCUGCUUGCAUGUGAAAAUAGCAUAUAUUAUGUAUUAAUGUUUAAUAUGUCAAGAGUUCUAAUAAUUACUACUUUUUUCUGUUCAAUUUUCAAUAUAAUCUGAAUGUUUAUCGUAUAAUGCAUUGCAAUUGACAUAAAACCCAUUUGAAAUUUUGAUAAGUUAAAAAUCGACCAUCCUUGUUAUUUCAUAAAAUACGUGUUACAUAACACGAUAAAGAAAUUUGUUUAUCAUCGUGGAAAGACAGUCAUACACUCUCAUUUACUGGACAUUUUGAUAGAUAAUUUAUGCCGGAAACUAUGAUAUAAUGGAUUUACUGUUGUCAAGUCAUUAAGGGUUGCAUAUUUUGGUAUUAAUAUUGAUUCACUCAUAGGGUCUUUGCAUCGGAAAUAAACACAUUUAUUCUAAAACCAGUUGUUGGCAUGAUACGGGUUAUGUUCUUCUCAUAUAUUUUAUGAUGGUAAUAUGAUACUAAACCCCUAACGGGAGGGAUUGUACUUGAUUUUCAUAUGAUGAAGACAUAAUCUUUCAAUCAGUUUAAUUGAGGUCUGGAGCUGGCAUGUCAGUAACUGCUAGUAGUCCUUUGUUCAUUUAUGUAUCAUUGUCAUUUUGCUUAGUUUCUUUUGUUACCUAUUCUAACAUCGGACUCAGACUUCUUUUAAACUGAGUUUUACUGUGCGUAUUGCUAUGUGUUUCUUUAUUCUACAUUGGCUAGAGGUAUAGGGGGAGGGUUGAUAUCUCACAAAACAUGUUUAACCCCGCCGCAUUUUUGCGCCUGUCCCAAGCCAGGAGCCUCUGCAUGGCCUUUAUUAGUCUAGUAUGUUUUUUAAUUUUAGUUCAUUUAUAUGUUUUGGAGUUUAGUGUGACGUCCAUUUCCAGUGAACUAGCACACAAUUUUAUUUAGGGGCCAGCUGAGGACCACCUCCGGUGCGGGAUUUUCUCGCUGCAUUGAAGACCCAUUGGUGGCCUUCGGCUGUUGUCUGCUCUUUGGUCGGGUUGUUGUUUCUUUGACAUAUUCCCCAUUUCCAUUCUCAAUUUUAUUGAAAAAACACAAAUUAUUUGAUAUAUAAUUUAUUUAAAAAAAACGUCAUUGAUGCGUCCUAUGAAAUUCAAAACAUGGUAAUUAUUUUUAAUGACAAUUCAAGAACUACGUGCUGUUAAAUUGAAUUAUGUUAUAUAUUUUAUAAUUUAUUGAUUUAUAAUGUUACAUACUAAAUGUGAAUGAAUGUGUAUCCGAAAACUGUUUAAUAAUACUAUGGUACAGUCCUGCCAGUGUGUGCAUAACUGUUUUUUUUUCUAAUUUGUUAUUGAUAAUUUAACCGUUUAUU